UACUAAUGACAGCAACAAUUCUUGGAACCCACGUUACGGAUGAAGGACAGACACUUGGGAACCACGUGUUAAGUACGGAUGAAAGGCAGACACUUGGGAACCACAUGUUAAAUACGGAUGAAAGGCAGACACUUGGGAACCACGUGUUAAGUUCGGAUGACAGGCAGACACUUGGGAACCACGUGUUACUACGGAUGAAAGGCAGACACUUGGGAACUACAUG